rnacentral:rRNA from 1 species
CCUACGGGUGGCAGCAGUGAGGAAUAUUGGUCAAUGGACGAGAGUCUGAACCAGCCAAGUAGCGUGAAGGAUGACUGCCCUAUGGGUUGUAAACUUCUUUUAUAUAGGAAUAAAAUGAGGCACGUGUGCCUUUUUGUAUGUACUUUAUGAAUAAGCAUCGGCUAACUCCGUGCCAGCAGCCGCGGUAAUACGGAGGAUGCGAGCGUUAUCCGGAUUUAUUGGGUUUAAAGGGUGCGUAGAUGGGUUGUUAAGUCAGUUGUGAAAGUGUGCGGCUCAACCGUAAAAUUGCCAGUGAUACUGGCAGACUUGAGUACAGUUGAGGUAGGCGGAAUGCGUGGUGUAGCUGUUAAAUGCUUAGAUAUCACGAAUAACCCCGUUUGCGAAGGCAGCUUACUAAACUGUGACUGACAUUGAUGCUCGAAAGUGUGGGGAUCAAACAGGAUUAGAUACCCCAGUAGUC